GGUCCCGGCACCUGGUCCUGCGCGCCCGGCCCGCGCGCGGCCAUGGGACCCAGGGCUCCGAGGGGACGCAGCGCGCCAGCAGUCAGGGACUCUCUGUCGGUUCUACUCCCUCUAUGUUUGCUCUCGAGGACUUCCGAGUUAAAUGUUGCAAAUGCCUUUAAACCCAAUAUUCUACUGAUAAUGGCAGACGAUCUUGGCAUUGGGGAUCUUGGUUGCUAUGGGAACGAUACGCUCAGGGACCCCCUGAUGCUCGAACAGCAAAGCCACACCAGACAUGUGUGAAUAACGGAGACAAGUCUGUAAGUACAUGUGAAACCUGCUCGUUUUAUUAGCAUAAUAGGAAGAAAAGAUCUCUUCUUUCAGGAAAAUCUCAUACGUGCCCUGCCCCUCCGUUCCUUUCGUGAGAGUCACUGGGCUGUUUCUCAGCAUAUUUAUAUCAUUCUCAGACACUCUCAUACUUUCUCUCUGUUUUUAAAAUGAAAAUAUCCCACAGGCCAGAGGGUUAUUUAAAAGGAAAAGAAUGCAUAAAAAAUGAAAGGCACUUGAGAGUAAUAUUUUAAGAUUAUAUUUGCCAAUCAACUUGGUUAGGGAAAGAAGGAAAUCACAUAAAUUGAUUGAGAAGCACAGAAUUUAAAAUCAGUAGCAUUUUUCCUGUUUGAAGGUAUCUUUUAACAAGUAGAGGGAUGAGAUUCUGCAGAAGAUUUCGAUGCUGAGGUUGAAACCUGUGCUGUUUUUCAUUCUGUUCCACAAUGUAGAUAAUCAUGAAGAUAUCUGUAAGAGAUAAAUACUUGAAAGAAGAGAGAGAGAUAGCUAGACAGACAAAUGGAUGUAUGGAUGG